GGCCAGAUAGCUCAGUUGGUAGAGCAGGGGAUUGAAAAUCCCCGUGUCGGGGGUUCGAUUCCCUCUCUGGCCACCA
rnacentral:tRNA from 16 species